rnacentral:piRNA from 1 species
UAGUCUUCUUGACCAAUCACUAAGUUUUA